rnacentral:rRNA from 1 species
GAUGAACGCUGACAGAAUGCUUAACCCAUCAGCAAUUGAUUGGUGGCGGACGGGUGAGUAACGCGUACAGAACUUGCCUCACAGGUAGGGACAACAUUUGGAAACGAAUGCUAAUACCUAAUACUGUGAGAGAGCUUUGCGUCCCACUAGCUAGUUGGAGAGGUAACGGCUCACCAAGGCGAUGAUGGGUAGCCGGCCUGAGAGGGUGAUCGGCCAAAAGGGGACUGAGACACGGCCUGUACUCCUACGAGGGACAGCAGUGAGGAAUAUUGGACGAUGGACCAAAGUCUGAUCCAGCAAUUCUGGGGGAACGAUGAAGUGUUCGGAAUGUAAAGUGCUUUCAGUUGGGAAGCGGGACCAACAGAAGAAGUGACGGCAGACUACGUGCAAGCAGCGGCGUUAAUU